AUGUGCCCUGGCACAGGUGGUACAGCCAGGAUGUGUCCUGGCACAGGGAUGGCCCCGGUGGCACAGCCAGGAUGUGUCCUGGGCACAGGUGGCACAGCCAGGAUGUGCCCUGGCACAGGGAUGGCCCCAGGGCAGGGCAGCCCCAGCCCCAGCGUCCCGUCCCAGCCAGCACUGCCCCUGUCCCCACUGUCCCCAUGGAUCCCUGGAGGGAUCCCGGAGGGAUCAGGGGAGGGGAGCUGGGGCACAGCAACACUAAAACACCCAGAGAACACUAACACAGCCCUGCCUGGGGCUCGGAGCCAUCCCUGCCCAUCCUGCAGGGACACCAGGGAUGUCCCCUGCCCGUCUGGCCCCCUCCCCACUGAGCUCAGCCCCGGGGUGGGGGAGCUGCUCCUUCUGCCCAUGGUUUUUUCGUGGACCUCAGGCUUUUCCUGCUCCAAACUCCCAAGUCAGUCCCACCUGGAGGAUCACCUGGAAGGGGAGGAACUGGGCCACAGCCUGGGCUGUCUCUGUGGUGGGACAGAGGUCAUGGCUCCUCUGCCCAGGGCUCUGCCCAUUCCCCCUUCCCGGGGAUCCCUCCUGUGGCUGGAGCUCACCUGGCCCUCAGGUGCCUUCCCUGCACCCCCAGCCUGCCCCAGCCACCCUCCCUGGGGGCCAGGCACCCCUCUGCCCCUGCCUUGCUGGGAGAAGGGAUGGUUCAUCUCGGUGGCACUUCUGCCAGCCCUUCUCCCCCCGCUGUGCUUUCCCUGCCCAGGAGGUGGCCAUGGGGUUGGGGUGGGGCUGCAGGGCAGCGUGUGCUGGGCUCCGUGGUUUCCCUUGCUGCAGAUGGGGGUUCUGCCCCUCGUGGGGAUGGGAUGGGCCCUGCUGGGUGAGCCCCAGCUGUGCAGGGCUGUGCUGCUGCACCCCUGUCCCUGCAGCACCCCUGUCCCUGCAGCACCCCUGUCCCUGUCCCUGCUGCUCCUGCUGCCGUUCUCUGUAAGGAUUUGGUCCGUGCAUGUCCACGUGUGUCUGACCCCCCAGCAGUGACCCUGGCCCCGGGGGGUGCACAGGGCAGCCCCCCUGCUCCCAGCAGGGCAGGGAGCCCAUGGGACCGGAGUCCUGGGGGCCCUUCCCGCUGUCCCCUCCCCGCCGGGGGACGCUGGCUCCCGCUCAGGUGGAUUGAAGCGCGUUCUGUCAGCUGGGACACCUCGCUAGAUCUUUUUUUGGGGUUUGUUUGUUUUGGUUUUGUUUUUUUGUUGGGUUUUUUUUUUAAUGGCUUCUCCUGGUUUUUAGGGGAAAAAAUGAUGACCCACAGUUCUUGACUUGUAUCUCUGAAUGAAAGUAUUAAAUGUUUUCUUCUUUCUAAGGGCUGCCUUGUGGAGUCAGGAAAUGGCUGGGAUUGGAUGGCACUGGGAGGUCAUGGGAAGGGACACCUCCCACUGUCCCAGGCUGCUCCAAUCCCCAGUGCCAGGCUGUUG
rnacentral:lncRNA from 1 species